UGAGGAAUAUUGGUCAAUGGUCGGGAGACUGAACCAGCCAAGCCGCGUGAGGGAUGAAGGUGCUAAGCAUUGUAAACCUCUUUUGUCAGGGAACAAAGGCAUCCACGAGUGGGUGUGUGAGUGUACCUGAAGAAAAAGCAUCGGCUAACUCCGUGCCAGCAGCCGCGGUAAUACGGAGGAUGCGAGCGUUAUCCGGAUUUAUUGGGUUUAAAGGGUGCGUAGGCGUCCUGUUAAGUCAGCGGUAAAAGCCCGGGGCUCAACCCGGCGAGCGUCGAACAUGGCUGGCUGGAGUUGGCGAGAGGUAUGCGGAAUGCGCGGUGUAGCGGUGAAAUGCUUAGAUAUCGCGCAGAACUCCGAUUUCGAAGGCAGCAUGCCGGCGCCACACUGACGCUGAGGCACGAAAGCGUGGGGAUCAAACAGGAUUAGAUACCC
rnacentral:rRNA from 1 species